rnacentral:rRNA from 1 species
ACUCAAAUGAAUUGACGGGGGCCCGCACAAGCAGUGGAGCAUGUGGUUUAAUUCGAUGCAACGCGAAGAACCUUACCCAGGCUCGAAAUGUAAUAGACGUAACCAGAGAUGGUUAUUUCCGCAAGGACUGUUAUAUAGGUGCUGCAUGGCUGUCGUCAGCUCGUGCCGUGAGGUGUUUGGUUAAGUCCAGCAACGAGCGCAACCCUUAUCAUUAGUUGCCAACGCGUCAAGGCGGGGACUCUAGUGAGACUGCCUGGGUUAACCAGGAGGAAGGUGAGGAUGACGUCAAGUCCGCAUGGCCUUUAUGUCUGGGGCUACACACGUGCUACAAUGGUCGGUACAGAAGGCAGCAAGACCGCAAGGUGGAGCAAAUCCGUAAAGCCGAUCUCAGUUCAGAUUGUAGUCUGCAACUCGACUACAUGAAGUUGGAAUUGCUAGUAAUGACGUGUCAGCAACAACGUCGUGAAUACGUUCCCGGGCCUUGCACACACCGCCCGU